UGAUUGCAAUUCACAAUAACGCUAAUCUUCAACGAAUGAGCGUCGUAAUACCAAAUGCAAAUUCGUUCGACCAGCAUUUUCGAUCGUUGUCGAAGAUCGAAUGCAACUCAUAAUAGGGCCCAGAGUAUGCUUCUGUGGUUUGGAACCCUAGUUACCAAGUCCAUUCAGAUAAGUUAGAGUCCGUUCAAAAACAAUUUUUACUUUUUGCCUUAAAUCAUUUGCAUUGGGAUUUCAGUUUAAAUCUUCCCCCUUACACUAACUGCUUAAAACUUAUAAAUCUCCCGACACUCGCUAGUCGUAAGGAGAUGCUUGGUAUAAUAUUUCUUGUAAAACUCAUGAAUGGCUUAGUUUGUAGCCCAUCUCUCUUAUCUGAUAUUAAUUUUAACGUCCCCGCUCGCUCUACCAGGCAGUUUAGACCCUUACUUUUAAAAUUUUCUAGAACAAAUUUUGAGUUAAACGAACCAUUCCGCCGUAUAUGUCAUGAUUUCAUGUCUGAGCAGCUUAAGAUCGCAACGCUUAAAACUCUCGGCCCCGGGUAUUAUUAUUAAUUCCAUAUGACGUUGAGUUUUUUUCUAUCCUGACCGCCAAUUAAGAAAAAUCGUAAAAAUGUAAAAACGAAAUUUAACACCCAAAUGCGUCAUUAUUCAUUCAAUAAAUGUUAUCUCUUAAAAUCGUUCUUCAAUUCGGCACUCAUUAAAAACUUUAAUAGGAUUGCUUGUAUGUAUUCAUUUGCAAGUUUUGUCACAUUAGUAAACAGUUGGUUCGAAUAUUGGUUUUGCGUAUGUUCGAAAAGACGAAAAUCCAAUCAGAUUCUGUGACAGCUAAGCAAUUCUGUCUUGGAUUCCACAACACCCCUGAUAGAUUUGAUAUUCUAAACACACAUUUUGGGUGUCACGGAAACCAAUUUUAUUGCUUUUGCCAUUACAAACAAAGCAAGAAGAGAGGCGCUCACAUAUUUGAAAUGUAAGUUAAGAAAUCACGUUAUUUUAUUAUUACGAUAUUUGAAAAUUGUUGGAAAGUAUAUAGAAAACUGAAUCACGCGAAAAUACAAACAAAGAAAAAUCGUUGAAAAUCCUACAUAUUUGGUGUUUAAGAUGUGGCAACGCUCGUUUUCCUCAUAAUUGUAAACAAGCUAACCUUUUCAACGAUGAGUGUGCUAAGUGGUUUUUAAAUUAAUAAAUAUAGCUAAAAUAUAACAAAAUAAAAGUGAAAAAUGUGAAAAAAUUUGGUGAAACAUUGUGAAAUACUAAAUGUUAUUAAUAUAAAUUUUUGAAUUUUUAACCGGGAAUAUUUUAAAAAAGAUAAGUGUUAGCAAUAUUAUUUUUGGGGAGACUUUAGUAUGCCAUCCCACGAUUUCUGGGUUAAAAGUGGUAUGAUAUAUAUGUGGAAAAUGUACCACGGACCCAAACCAAACGCACUUACGGACCUUAAAAUACGACCCUGCGACAAUGACGCGACAAUUACAUUACAACACUGGUAGAACGAAAGACAAGAAACGAAGAACAAAACUAAGCACAGUUGACCGCGAACUCUCACCUAAGACAGAUCAACAUUGUAAGCUACGCGCAAUUUAUUUUAAAUACAAAUUGAAUAAACUUUGUUAAUUUAAACAUAAAACAGUGCGGUUUUAUUUAAAAGGAAUAGUGUGUUAAAAGAAAGAAUACUACAAAUGGUGUCAGAAGUGAAAUAAAAGACCACUACGUUGAAUUAGUGCCGCGAGAAAAACCAAAUUGAUCAUUAAAUCAAAGCCAAUGCGCUAAGAUUGUAAUAAACGUUCUUUAACACGCGAAAAAACAGUUCAUACGGUGGCAAAAAUUGUGAAAAAUGUUUCUUUAAACUUAAAAAAAAGGACAGACGAAAGUAAAAACCGUUACGAAAAAACGGAUUUUGCAACGGGUAUAUAGACAAGCAGGCGACGACGCCAACAGUUCAGCAAAUUCAGUUUUCACGAUAAGUGCGCAGACAAUAAGGCGGCGGCGUCAACAGUUUAGUAACAUAGAGAAACCGCUGUUCAGUUGAGAACAGAACGGAGUGAGACAGCGUAGACGGAAGCAGCGGGCAAAAGUUGCGUUGUGCGUGGAAACUGCCGUUCAGCUGGAACAGAAAGCAGUGCGACAGCGUAGACAGGAGCUGCGAGCAGAAGUUGCGUUGUGUGUGAGUGACGUCACAUAGCAAGUGUGGUAUUGUCGACAGCAGAGAGGCAUCGACUGCGGUAGCGCUGAGUGUGAGCGCAUGCGGAAUUGGCUACGUGAGAAAACGGUGAAGAGUAAAAGCUGUGUGCAUUUUUGACGGCUGCGCGGGAGAACAAGAGAAUGUUUGAAAAUUGACGGCAGCGAGGGAUGAAACUUGAACAAUCGUAGCUGAAGCUGGUGGUAGCGUUAGAGCUAAGUAUUUACAUUUUAUUGCGCAAUAACAAAAACUAUAUAUUGAUGAAUUUAGCUUUAAUUGAUUCAUGUUCUGAUUGAAAGUAAAAGUUGAAAUAAUUUUGAGAAAAGUUUUAAGACAAAUUUUGAUUAAAUUAAAAAUUAAAGUUACAUACUUAUACCUUUGUUUACAGAGCAAUACAUUUUAAAAGUUUUAAGAAAAUUUUGAUACAAUAAUUUAAUACUACUUUGAAAUAUUUUUGUAUAUAAUAAGCAUUGUAAGACAAAAUGAACCGUGACCAAAUUUUAGGUUUGAACAUACAGGAACUGAAAGAGAAAUUGGGUGGGUUGGGAUUAGCGACCGACGAAAACCGACAUUGCAAGACCGGUUACUUGAACACUUCGGCCUGAAUGUGAGCGACAAUGAAGAAAGCGAUGGCAACGAUGCUGCAAGUCAACGUAGUGCUGUCUCGAGCGUGCGAGGAAUUGAGCGAUCAGUGUUUACCUUGCGAGAUAUUGAAGAUUCACUGACAUCAUUCUCCGGUUCGGGGCAACCAAGCAUCGAGCAACGGCUGGAAGAGUUCGAGGGGAAUGCAGAAGCGGUGAGCUGGAACGAGUUACAGAGAUUUAUUUAUGCAAAGCAGCUUUUGAAGGGUGCAGCAAAAAUGUUUGUUCGAAGUCAGCGCGGUAUCAACAAUUGGAGUUCAUUGAAGCAGGCGUUAAAAAAUGAAUUUGGAAUUGUUGUAUCGUCAAUAGAAAUUCAUCGCACACUACGAAAUCGUCGCAAACGCCAAGGGGAAGAUUUCAUGGAAUAUCUCUAUAGCUUGAUGGAGAUCGGCAAGUCGAUAAACUUGGACGACACCAGCUUCAUAGAGUAUUUCAUUGAAGGCAUUCCGGAUUCCAAGGCGGGUAAAGCAAAUUUGUACCAGGCUAAAACCGUAAAAGACCUAAAGGAGCAGCUGAAGGUUUAUGAAAAAAAUCAAAGUUCCUGUUUCAAAAUCUCAAUUCGUCAACGCAAACAAAACGUCUUCUACGUCAUCAAACAUAGCUUCGUCGAGUUCAGGCAGUUCAGCGAAAAAAUGCUACAACUGCGGAGAUGAUUCACACUUUGCUAGGGACUGUCGACGCAAAAAGGUGAAAUGUUUCAAAUGCGGUGUAAAAGGUCACCGAGCAACAGAGUGCGCUACAGUUGAAAAAUUAGUCAAGAAGGAGAAAAGCGCAAACAUGAUGAAGACAAAAGCAGCAGUAAAGCCCAAUAAGAGAAGCAGUUUAACUUUCAAGGACAUUUGGAAGAAUGGAGUAUGCGUUUCGGCAUUAAUUGAUACGGGUGCAGAUGUAUGUUUGAUGCGAUACGAUACACUAUUGAUGUUGGACUUGGAUGUAAAGCUGACAAAGGAAAGAGUAUGCUUGGUCGGAAUUGGGGACAGUGAACUUACAACAAUAGGUAGCUUCUCCAUCCGCAUUGAAGUUGAUGGCAUAUGGUUAGAAAUGAAAUUCCAUGUUGCCAAAGAGACUGAUUUGAAGUAUGCUCUAGUAAUUGGUAACAACAUUUUGAAGGAUGUCGAUCUAAUUAUGACCGAGGAUGGUGCGGAGUUCAGACAAAAAGAAGCAGGAAAACAACAACUGGUGCUGAUGCUAAGGAACAUGCAGCUGAAGCCGUCGAGCUGGAGACUAAGGUCAUGGGUGAGCACAAGCAGGUGCAAAAGACUGUGAGCCAGAACAGUGGUAUGAGCACAGCGAGUACGGGAGCGAGCGCGCUGCUGUGGCUGAGGAGCCACGUGAGCAUCCACCAAUGUGGAACGCUAUGGAGAAGCUGUAUAACGGAGGCGCAAGCAAGAGCGCUGUUAUAGCAAGGAAAUCAGUGGCAGUUGCGGGCGAAAAUCGAGUUGUCCAGCUGGUGAAGGAGUUCGGUGAAUUAUGUCUGGUCGGAAGCAUAAACGAGAAGGCCGAUGUUGAAGUGAACGUAUCCCACCUACAGGUAGAACAGGCAGAUGCGGUAAAAGAAAUGGUUGGCGCAUAUACCCCUUUGAGAAAUUUCGAGUCACCAGUAGAAAUGAAAAUUUUGUUGAUAGACGAUAAUCCUGUGUUCGAGAGACCGAGACGUAUGUCCUACGCUGAUCGAUGCGUAGUGGACGAGCAAGUGACGCAGUGGCUGGCGGAAGGGAUCAUUAAACCCAGUAUUUCCAACUACGCGUCACCAGUUGUACUUGUAUCCAAGAAAGAUGGAAGAAAACGACUCUGCUGCGAUUAUCGACGACUGAUGAAAAGAUAGACCUAGAUAAUUUCCCUAUGCCAAUGAUGGAUGAUGUCAUCGAACGAUUGAAUGGAGCAAACGUUUUUACAACAUUGGAUUUAAGAAACGGAUUUUUCCAUGUUCCAGUCCAAGCUGAUUCGCAAAAAUACACGUCGUUUGUAACAUACAACGGGCAAUACGAACUUCAAUACGUACCAUUUGGAAUCUCAAACCCGCCGGCAGUGUUCACCAGAUUUGUUGUGGCUGUACUGAGAGAACUAAUCCAGGAUGGAACAGUGGUAGCCUACAUGGAUGACCUAAUCAUUCUCUCCAAGAACGAAGAAGAAGGUAUCCUGAAGUUGGAGCGCGUUUUACUGACAACAGCAUCAAAAGGGUUGCAGAUAAAAUGGAGUAAAUGCCAAUUUCUGGUACGAAGAGUCGAAUUUCUCGGAUAUGUCAUCGAAAACGGUUCAAUAAAACCCUCUGAGGCGAAAACAAUUGCUAUAAAAGACUUUCCGAUACCACGAAAUCGGACAGAAAUGCAAAGUUUCCUGGGAUUGACGUCAUAUUUCAGAAGAUUCGUUGAAGGUUAUGCUGUAAUUGCCAAACCACUCUCCGAUCUACUGCGAAAGGACAUAAAGUUCAGGAUGGAAGAGGAGCAUCUAGCAGCUUAUCAACAGUUAAAAACAGCGUUAAUGAAUCCUCCGAUUUUAAAGCUGUAUAAUCCAAAAGCAGUAACUGAAGUGCACACGGACGCUUGCAUGUUUGGCUACGGAGCUGUGAUGCUGCAGAAAAAUAACGACGAUCAAGAUUUCCACCCGGUCCAAUAUAUGAGUCGCAAGACUAAACCUGCAGAAGAGUGGUACCAUUCGUACGAGCUAGAAGUGCUAGCGAUUGUGGAAUCGUUAAUGAAAUGGCGAGUGUACCUGCUGGGCAUGAAGUUUAAAAUUGUCACUGACUGCAACGCAUUUGCCAUGACAAUGAAGAAACGCGAUGUGCCACUACGUGUAUCCCGUUGGGCGAUUUUCCUGCAAGACUUCGAUUAUGUAAUCGAGCAUAGAAAAGGAACCAGAAUGCGACAUUCGAUGCUUUGAGCCGUGUCUCGUGCUUGAUGUUGGAAGACUCACUAAAUCAUCGACUCAAGAAGGCUCAACAAAGCGACGAUUGGACGCGAGACGUACGAAAAGUGUUGGAGAAGGAUGACUAUGAAGACUUCUACAUAAAACACGAAGUGCUGUAUAAAGAUCCGGAUAAAGAGCUGAUAGUCGUACCGUUGUCAAUGGAAGAUGAAAUCAUCAAGAUAGCACAUCGGCAAGGUCAUUUUUCCAUUAAGAAAACGCAAGACGCUGUCGAGAAAUCAUUCUUUAUCCCGCAAUUAAAUUCAAAAGUGACGAAAAUCGUGAAGAGCUGUAUUGAGUGUAUUGUCACUAAUGCUAAGUCUGGAAGGAAGGAAGGAUUGCUGAAUCCUAUCAACAAAGAGGACAAACCGUUGGGAACUUUCCAUCUUGAUCACGUUGGUCCGAUGGAGACGACAAAUAAGUCAUACAACUACAUACUUGUUGUCAUUGACGCUUUUUCGAAAUUCGUGUGGCUUUAUCCCACGAAAAACACUGGAGCAGAGGCAGUUGUAGAACGCCUGAAGAAGCAAGCUGCUAUAUUUGGUAAUCCAAAGCGUGUAAUCACCGAUAGAGGCGCCGCAUUUACAUCAAAUCUCUUCAAAGACUACUGUGAAGGCGAAGGUAUCCAGCAUCUACUGAUAGCGACUGGCAUUCCAAGAGAAAAUGGCCAAGUAGAGCGAAUACACAAAAUCGUAGUAUGGUGUCGAAACUAUGUCAUGAAACCCCAAGCAGUUGGUACAAACACGUCGAUAAAGUGCAACAAUUCAUUAAUAGCACUCCGCCUCGUAGUACCAAGACGACCCCAUUCAAAAUACUGACGGGCUUAGAGAUGCGUGUUCCGGGUAUUCCAGAACUACAGGAAAUGCUAGGUGAAGCCGCAAUCGAUGAACUUAAUGCUGAUCGAGAUGCAGUGUGCCAACAAGCGAAGGAAAACAUCGUCGAAAUUCAGCAGGAGAAUCGGAAUUGUUAUAAUUCACGCCGCCGAACAGCAACCAACUACGACAUUGACGAACUGGUAGCCAUUAAGCGUACCCAAUAUGGAACGGGCUUGAAGUUGAAGCCCAAAUAUUUCGGGCCGUUCAGAAUUGUGAAGAAGAUGGAGCAUGAUCGCUACGAAGUGGUAAAAGUCGGGGACCACGAAGGCCCAAGACGCACCACGACUGUUGCUGAGUUCAUGAAGAAGUGGGACCCUUCAUUCGGGACGAAUGAAGCCGCAGGACGGCCAAAUGUGGAAAAUGUACCACGGACCCAAACCAAACGCACUUACGGACCUUAAAAUACGACCCCGCGACAAUGACGCGACAAUUACAUUACAACACUGGUAGAACGAAAGACAAGAAACGAAGAACAAAACUAAGCACAGUUGACCGCGAACUCUCACCUAAGACAGAUCAACAUUGUAAGCUACGCGCAAUUUAUUUGAAAUACAAAUUGAAUAAACUUUGUUAAUUUAAACAUAAAACAGUGCGGUUUUAUUUAAAAGGAAUAGUGUGUUAAAAGAAAGAAUACUACAUAUAUAUAAUUAUCGCCGUCUCAAACUUAUAGUAUUCGAGAUUUUUGCAUUUAAAGUUGAAAAUUUCGCAAAUUUUAUUUUGCAAUUCCUCGAUUUAUAGUAACUUUUUCUUUCAUAUUAUGCACUUUUUAUACACUUACACUUCAUUAUAAUGUUUCUACAUAUUUACUUAAUAUUAUUUAGAUAUUUGCUUAAAAUGAGCAAUUUAUAUUUUACACACUUUUCACUACAUGCACAAUAAUAUAAGUGUUUCUUGUUGUCAAAUAAUAAGUGUUACCAUAUCCAAACGAUUGAAAAUAAUAAAAUUAAAUAAAAAACUCAAACGCAGGAAACAAGUACCAUCUUCAAAAUGUUCUGAAAUCCAACGAUCCUACACCGGGGCGUGUCAAGUGUUUUUCGAGUAAAACUCUUUUUUGCUCGGCGGCCUUCGGGCGCGCUUCAAAAAAAAAUAACAUUGGCCGAUCCAAAACCUGGGUGUGUCAAGUUUUUUUUCGAGUAAAACAACUUUUUGCGUUGGCCGCCUUCGGCCGCGCUUCAAAAAAAAAAAAUGACCAUGGCCGAUCCAAUACAGGGGUGUGUCAAGUUUUUUACGAGACAAGUUCUUUUUGCAUUGCCGGCCAACGGCCACGCUUCAAAAGAAAAUAACUCUGGUCGAUCAAAAGUCAUGAUAUAUCAAGAAAAGGGAUAAUAAUUUAUGUAUUUAGAAUAUAAUCCUAUAUUUUUUAUUUUUUUGAUUCUUUUAAUAAAUAUGUUGAUAUGGCAAUACUUAUUAUUUGGCAACACGGAACACUUAUGUUACUGUGCAGGUAAUGAAUUUUGUGUAAAAUAUAAAAUGCUUAUUUUAAGUAAAUAUCUAUAUAAUUGCUGAAAAAUAAAUAUGUAGAAACAAUGUAGUGAAGUGUAAGUGUAUAAAAAGUGCGUAAUAUGAAAGAAAGAGUUACGAUAAAUCGAGAAAUUGUAAAAUAAAAAGCUCCCCUCUCCGUACAUACCUCAUUUAUACCGAAAUUCGUGUUUUUUACCCGACCGCCAAAGUAGUCGGAAUCGUGCCAAGAGGUGGAGUGUAUGACGUGUGUGGUGUGGCACACCACACGAUUCUCUUAGUAGUGGUAUAUCAUGGCUGAAGUAGCGCGCCAUUCCACUAGAGGGUGAUGGUGGCAAGGUGUAGUACAAGAGGGUGCAGUACCUAGAUCGGCAGGAUUAACAGCACUGGCUACGUGUCGCCUAGUGGCUGAUUCCACUAGGUCAAGUAUUUGAAACGUUCGAUUAGAAAUGUACGCCUUCCAUGCAUGUGGUGGUUUUUAUAAUCAGGCACUAGUACACUUUCGGAAUCGGACCACGUUUUUAAAGAAUCCCCUUUUGCUUUUGUGUGCUAAAAAGUGGCUUGUGCGCACAUAGAUAGUAGCGCAGUAUGCCUUCUCAGACGCGUCAAAGAAGCCAUGUAAUUCGACUUUGUGUUCGGGGGAACAAUUUACUCGUGGAACUUGUAUCUGAGAAAUGACAUUCAGAUCGUUAAUCUUUUUCUAAACGAAAAGGUUUCACUUGUUUGUCCCAGUCGGUUCCAUCUAGCCAUAAUUCGUGUUUCAAGAUUUUCGCUUGUAUUAUAGUUGGCGUUUUGCUACCGAGGAUAAAAUCAGUCUUUUUGUUAUGGCAGAUAAUGCGGAUAUGGGCACAGUCGUGUAUGAGAACUGGUCCGAUAUCGUUCUAUUGGAUGCCUAGAGUUCGGUAGGUGAUCUUCGAAACAUAAUACGUUAAAAAUCUUGGUCGUCUUUAUGUAUGUACGACUAUUUGACGAUACAUUUUUUCAAUGUCCCCAUUGAAUACAUAUUUAAAUGUACGCCAAUUUUUAAUAUCAGUACCAUUAAAUCUGGUUGGAGUUUGGGUCCCAUAAAUAGAAUAUCAUUUAGGGAAUUCCCUGAGCUAGUGGUUUUUGAGGCAUUAAAAACCGCUCUUUCUUUUGUUGUUGUUUUUUUUUGCCUGGAUUUACUACUGCAUGAUGUGACAGGUAGAAGGAAUAGUAUUUGCCGUUGGCAAUUUUUUCCCCUGGGCUUCCUCAGUGUGAUCUAAAUGGAGGUAUUUUUCUAACACACCAUCAUAUUCUGAUUUGAGUUCGCCUUUUUUAAGUAAGUUUCUUUCCAUACUUAGAAACUGCUGUAUUGCAAAGGGGCGAGAGUGGCUUUGUAAAAGUCCUCACAAUACUCAUCUUCAGGGGUUGUGGCUGAUAUGAGGGGUAGUUUUUCUAAUUCCCGAAAUUUUUUCAAUUGUGAAUUGAUGUAUUCGUUUGAGAUUUCCUCAACUUGAGUUGUCAUUGUUGAGACAGGUUCGGUAACUAGUACACUUAAGAUCCAACCGAAAACAGUCUUUUGUGCCAGAAGUGUGUUUGAUAUUUUCUCAAUAACUUCGAGUAUUAUCUGUGGUAUGAGAUCGCUGUCUAAUAGAAGAUAUAUUUGAGUGGGGAUGUUGCAGUUUGAGUCUGAUAGCUUUAGGUGUGAAACCUUUUGCCAAUAUUUGCUAUUUAUAUGAUAGAUAGGAAGCAUAUUUGUUAAUUGCGGUAAGACAAUAGCUUCUGCUUGUAUACGCUUAUCCGCUAAUAUAUAUAUAAUGGGGCAGAUUUUAUUUAAGUUUGGAACUACUCCUCCGCCCAUUCCCGUGAUUUGCUAGUUUUGUUGGCAACUGUAGCCUGUUUUGAUGAAACGAUACAACUCACUUUGAUUUCCGCCAGGGGCCUUUGGGGAUAAAAUGAGUGUAUGUGGUGUUUACGUAUCUGAAUCUGUGUGUGCCUGUGCUUCUUUCUCCAGUCCUUUGCUGUUGUUGUUGUUGUUAUUUCCUGGUUGUUUUUUGUACAAUUUUUUUUUGUUUCUUGGUUGUUUGUCGCAGCACUUCACUGACUAUGCCUAUAUUGCUUAUGUUAUGUGCUUCAAUUUGCGCACCACGAUUUUGUCACCUCACUUUUACAAGUAUAAAAUCUAUGUUUUUUUGUUUUGGUUUCGGUCACUCCACUUUCACUAUACAUACUUAUGUAUAUGUAUAUUGUAUGUGUAUAUAAUUUUUCGCACCGCACUUUCUGUCACCACACUUUUUCCUUUCUUGUAACUGCACUUUUGUACACUUUUUCAUAUGAUGUAUAUACAUACAUAUCGUCACCUGAAAUGCAAAUUAACGUAACAACAUUUUCAGAAAUUUACAGUGGCAUGAAUGAAACACGGAAUAAAAUGGAACAUGAGUGAAACAAAAUAUUAAUAUUGGUUAAAACUGGUUUAUAUAUGACCGCAGAACCAGAAAAUGUUGAACAUAUUUAAUAUUAUGUAUACAAAUUUAAGUAGUGAAGCGUAAUCAAUAAGACACUCAAUUUCGAAUUUUUUGAUGAUACGUUAUUUUGCAUUUCAGGUGACGAUAUGUAUGUACACACAUGCAAUUUUUUUUUAUUUUUUUUCUCAAAUUUUGUCACCAAGUUAAUUUGGUAUGGUGGCUUAAGGUUUGUUGUAUCAGUAUUGGUGUGCGCGUGAUGUGGAAGGUAAGAAGUGGUGUGUAUGUAGAUAUGGUGUAUGAUGUGUGUGGUGUGGCAGUGUUUUACUUUGGGGAAGGUCCGAGGCUCAUUUAGCCACCCCAAAUGCAUAAACCAUUUCCCUUUUCUUGACAAAUCAAGAUUUUUGAACGCUCAGGACCCCAAUGCAAAAAAGAGUUUUACACUUUAAACUUGGCACACCCCAAUGGCGGGUAAUAAAAAGAUUUUUUGAGAUAGACAACUGCAAAAAUCCUUUUUUUUUUAUAAUUUAUUUUCUUUAUUCCUUUUAGCUCACUUACAUAAUAUGUCGAUAAGGUAACACUGAUUAUGUGACAGACUGAUUCUUGAAUUAAAAUUAUACUUGCACUAUAUACUAUAAAAUAAAUGUGUACAAACGAAUUAGUGAAGUGUUAGUGAAUAUAAAAGGAGAAAUUAAAGAGUAAAAUUAAAUUUAAAUAGCAAAAAUAGAAAACGCCAAAAAAGUGUAUUUGAUAUUUUAUAAUUUGUCCCAAUUUAUCGGAUAUCUUUACAUUUUAAUCGUGAUGGGCGUUUUAUAUUACCGUGAUGGUAUAAUGUCGAUGCCUAAAAUAUAUGAGUCUGUAG